rnacentral:rRNA from 1 species
UACGGGGGGGGCGAGCGUUGUUCGGAAUUACUGGGCGUAAAGGGUUCGUAGGCGGCCAACUAAGUCCGACGUGAAAUCCCAAGGCUUAACCUUGGAACUGCGUCGGAUACUGGAUGGCUUGAAUUCGGGAGAGGGAUGCAGAAUUCCAGGUGUAGCGGUGAAAUGCGUAGAUAUCUGGAGGAACACCGGUGGCGAAGGCGGCAUCCUGGACCAACACUGACGCUGAGUGAGCGAAAGCCAGGGGAGCAAACGGG